GCCCUUGUAGCUCAACGGACAGAGUGUCCCGCUUCGGACGGGAUGAUAGAGGUUCGAUUCCUCUCAAGGGCG
rnacentral:tRNA from 1 species